rnacentral:rRNA from 1 species
GUUAAGCUUCAGUAAGUGACCUGCGGAGGAUCAUUAAUUAUCCUCGAAAUAAAGGUAGAUCAUGUGUGAGAGGCAUGGGCAACCAUGCUUCUUAGCUGAUCCCUUUACUCUUCAUGGACAUCCCUUCUGUGUAUCAAACCUUUGUUGCUUCCCGCAUGGCGUGGUCCGUAAGGGCUACCCGGCGGGGAGGAUACCAAAAACUCUGGUUGUUGUGUAGUUAGUCUGAGUGGUAAACACAUUAAACAAGUUAAAACUUUCAACAACGGAUCUCUUGGUUCUCGCAUCGAUGAAGAACGCAGCGAAAUGCGAUAAGUAGUGUGAAUUGCAGAAUUCAGUGAAUCAUCGAAUCUUUGAACGCACAUUGCGCCUUCUGGUAUUCCGGGAGGCAUGCCUGUUCGAGCGUCAUCAAACCCAUCCUCAAGCUCUUUUGCUUGGUAUUGGAAGGAAGAUGUUCUCAUCUCCUCUCAAAUCCCUCAGCGGAAACCACUGCAGUCUCAGGUGUGAUAGGAUUACUUUUCGCUUGGUGACUGCCGGUAGGUUCUUGCUGUGAAGAGCCCCCCAGCUUUUUUUCUAAGUUUGACCUCGAAUCAGGUAGGGAUACCCGCUGAACUUAAGCAUAUCAAAGAAACA